GCAUCGCACCGCGUACCGCACCGCGCAUCGCACCGCGUACCGCACCGCGCAUCGCACCGGGUGGGAAACGAGGAACAAACGCUCAGCCCGAGCCGGGAAACCCGAGAGAACGCGGCGCCGGCAGAGGUGCUGACCCUGCAGGGACACCGCUUACCUGAAUAAAGGAAAUUAGUCUGAAUUUCACAUUAUUCACAACCCCGUCGCUGCUGUGCAUUUGGAAAUAAACCAGCUCCUCGUACCCACGGUACCUCAAAAC